rnacentral:rRNA from 1 species
AGUGAACGCUGGCGGUAGGCCUAACACAUGCGAGUCGAACGGCAGCACAGUAAGAGCUUGCUCUUACGGGUGGCGAGUGGCGGACGGGUGAGGAAUACAUCGGAAUCUACUUUUUCGUGGGGGAUAACGUAGGGAAACUUACGCUAAUACCGCAUACGACCUACGGGUGAAAGCAGGGGAUCUUCGGACCUUGCGCGAUUGAAUGAGCCGAUGUAGGAUUAGCUAGUUGGCGGGGUAAAGGCCCACCAAGGCGACGAUCCGUAGCUGGUCUGAGAGGAUGAUCAGCCACACUGGAACUGAGACACGGUCCAGACUCCUACGGGAGGCAGCAGUGGGGAAUAUUGGACAAUGGGCGCAAGCCUGAUCCAGCCAUACCGCGUGGGUGAAGAAGGCCUUCGGGUUGUAAAGCCCUUUUGUUGGGAAAGAAAAGCAGCAGGUUAAUACCCCGCUGUUCUGACGGUACCCAAAGAAUAAGCACCGGCUAACUUCGUG